rnacentral:rRNA from 1 species
CCCUUAGAUGUUCGGAGCUGCACGCGCGCUACACUGAAGGAAGCAGCGUGUUAGUGUACCUGGUUUGUGAGAACUGGGUAAUCCGGUGAAUGUCCUUCGUGAUUGGGAUAGGCGCUUGUAAUUAUUCGCCUUGAACGAGGAAUACCUAGUAAGUGCGAGUCAUCAGCUUGCGCUGACUACGUCCCUGCCCCUUGUACACACCGCCCGUCGCACCUACCGAUUGAAUGGUCCGGUGAAAUCUCGGGACGGCGGCUUGGUCGCUUGCGUCCGACUGCUGAAACUUGAUUAAACCAUAUCAUUUAGAGGAAGGUGAAGUCGUAACA